GACGAACGCUGGCGGCGUGCUUAACACAUGCAAGUCGAACGGUAAGGCCCUUCGGGGUCCACGAGUGGCGAACGGGUGAGUAACACGUGGGUGAUCUGCCCUGCACUUCGGGAUAAGCCUGGGAAACUGGGUCUAAUACCGGAUAGGACUCCGGACUGCAUGGUCUGGGGGGAAAAGCUUUUGCGGUGUGGGAUGGGCCCGCGGCCUAGCAGCUUGUUGGGGGGGUGAUGGCCUACCGAGGCGACGACGGGUAGCCGGCCUGAGAGGGUGACCGGCCACACUGGGACUGAGAUACGGCCCAGACUCCUACGGGAGGCAGCAGUGGGGAAUAUUGCACAAUGGGCGCAAGCCUGAUGCAGCGACGCCGCGUGAGGGAUGACGGCCUUCGGGUUGUAAACCUCUUUCAGCAUCGACGAAGCGAAAGUGACGGUAGGUGCAGAAGAAGGACCGGCCAACUACGUGCCAGCCGCCGCCGUAA
rnacentral:rRNA from 1 species